rnacentral:rRNA from 1 species
UCUACGGGUGGCUGCAGUGGGGAAUAUUGGACAAUGGGCGAAAGCCUGAUCCAGCCAUGCCGCGUGUGUGAAGAAGGCCUUCGGGUUGUAAAGCACUUUCAGUGGGGAAGAAAGCCUUGGGGCUAAUACCCUCGAGGAAGGACAUCACCCACAGAAGAAGCACCGGCUAACUCCGUGCCAGCAGCCGCGGUAAUACGGAGGGUGCGAGCGUUAAUCGGAAUUACUGGGCGUAAAGCGCGCGUAGGCGGUCUGAUAAGCCGGUUGUGAAAGCCCCGGGCUCAACCUGGGAACGGCAUCCGGAACUGUCAGGCUAGAGUGCAGGAGAGGAAGGUAGAAUUCCCGGUGUAGCGGUGAAAUGCGUAGAGAUCGGUAGGAAUACCAGUGGCGAAGGCGGCCUUCUGGACUGACACUGACGCUGAGGUGCGAAAGCGUGGGUAGCAAACAGGAUUAGAUACCCCAGUAGUC